rnacentral:lncRNA from 1 species
UUAAUGGAGGAGUCAAAAGGAUGGUGAUCCACUAAUGACAUGGGGAGGAUAGGCGUACUAUUCAAAAAGUAAGAAAAAAAAAGGUAGCAGCACCUAUCAUUCAUGGUAUUGCUAUUUUUGGGCCUGUGAUUUAGACUUGUUGUUUAAAUAAAUAAUAAAAGGAUAACGAAGACGAAGAGGGCCGACCGCCUUGCUCCUCCUCCCAUCACGGUGGCCGGACUCCGGUCGACCUCCGACUGCUGCGGGGACAGACCGACGGUGAGGCGAGUCUCAUGAAGCCGUGGCGUCGGAGAUCUCUCCUCCUGCAUCUUUGUCUCUCGUCCAGAUUCAAGAGGAGAUGGGUUUCAUCGCCUCCGGACCCGACGCCGGCAACCAUCUGGGCCGGAAUCAAGUUUUAUAGCCGACCGGAAAGGGGGAAGGGGAAUAGAUCACCAGCGUUCAACCCGCCCGUUGUUUAAAAAAAAAUAAAAAUAAAAAUAAAAAUAAAAAAUCGCAGGCGGUAAAGUUGGAACCACCGGAUCAAGGCAAACCGGCGGUUUCCCCUCCCUCAUCAGGGGCAAAAGGAGUCUUCAGUUCCCGAAAAGGUCAGCGGUCGGUCGAUUGAGGUAUUCCGGCGGCCACUGGCCGGGAUUUGGAGGAUAAAACCACCAGUUUGGUCAUCUUGCACCCGCCCAUCUCCCAUCAAAAUUGGACCAUCGCUGGCUCACCGGCAGUCGGGACGGCGAUCUCAGGCCAGCCGCCGGUGGUUAACGAUGGUCCCGUGCCGCCCCGGCGGUGUUUAUGGGUGGUUAAUCACCGACAAAAGGGGAUUUAGGGUUUUGAUUGGGAAAGA